AGAUUGAACGCUGGCGGCAUGCCUAACACAUGCAAGUCGAACGGGAGUAGCAAUACUCUAGUGGCGGACGGGUGAGGAAUACGUAGGAAUUUGCCCUUAAGUGGGGGAUAACCCGGGGAAACCCGGAUUAAUACCGCAUGACCUCGAAAGAGCAAAGUGGGGGAUCGCAAGACCUCACGCUUUUGGAGAAGCCUACGUCGGAUUAGCUAGUUGGUGAGGUAAUGGCUCACCAAGGCGACGAUCCGUAACUGGUCUGAGAGGAUGAUCAGUCACACCGGAACUGAGACACGGUCCGGACUCCUACGGGAGGCAGCAGUGGGGAAUAGUUGGACAAGUGGGCGCAAGCCUGAUCCAGCAA
rnacentral:rRNA from 1 species